rnacentral:rRNA from 1 species
UACGGAGGGUGCAAGCGUUUAUCCGGAUUUACUGGGUUUAAAGGGUGCGUAGGUGGGUAGGAAAGUCAGUGGUGAAAUCUUCGGGCUUAACCCGGAAACUGCCAUUGAUACUAUUUAUCUUGAAUACUCUGGAGGUAAGCGGAAUAUGUCAUGUAGCGGUGAAAUGCUUAGAUAUGACAUAGAACACCAAUUGCGAAGGCAGCUUACUACAUAGUUAUUGACACUGAGGCACGAAAGCGUGGGGAUCAAACAGGAGUUAGAAU